AUGGACUUCAACAUGAAGAAGCUGGCAUCCCACGCAGGCAUCUUCUUCACCCGGGCCAUGCAGUUCACAGAGGAGAAAUUUGUCCAGGCCAAGAAGACGAGAUCAAUGCCCACUUUGAACACCUUCUGGCCCAGGCAGACAGCACCAAGAACUGGACGGAGAAGAUCCUGAGGCAGACAGAGGUGCUGCUGCAGCCCAACCCCAGUGCCCAAGUGGAGGAGCUCCUGUAUGAGAAGCUGGACAGGAAGUCCCAUUGCGGGUCACCAACGAGGAACUGCUGGUUCAGUACAUGGCGGAGGCAGCCAGUGAGCUGGGGCCCACCACUCUCUACUAGAAGACACUGGUCAAAGUGACAGAAACAGAAAAGCGGCUGGGAGCCGCAGAAAGGGAUCUCAUCCUCACAGCCUCCAUGAGCCUCCUCAGACCCUUGCACAACUUCCCGGAAAGGGACUGGAAGACGAUCUCGAAGGAGAGGUGGCUCCUCCAAAACCGGCAUCUGGACUUGGAUGCCUGCAAGGCACGGCUGAAGAAAGCCAAGGCCACAAAAGCCAAAGCCACGUGUGAGGGAGAUACAGUACCCGAUUUUCAGGAGACUAGACCUCCUAAUUACAUUCUCUCCACCAGCACCUCCGUGCGCUCUGGAAUGAUGAGGUGGACAAGCAGGAGCUCCCCGUGGCCCAGACAGAGUUUGACCGGCAGGCAGAAGUGACCCGUCUCCUGCUGGAGGGAAUCAGUAGCAUUCACGUGAACCACCUGCGCUGCCUCCACGUGUUUGUCAAGGCUCAGACCACUUACUAUGCACAGUGCUACUGCCACAUGCUGGACCUGCAGAAGCAGCUGGGCAGAUUUCCAGGCACCUUCGUGGGCACCACGGAGCCCUCCUCCCCGCCCUUGAGCAGCACCUCAGCCACCACUGCUGCAGCCACCAUGUCCAUGGUGCCCUCUGUGGCCAGCCGGGGUUCUCUGGCAGAGGCUGCGCUCUGCCUGGAGGAGGUGGCCUCUCCCGCCAUGGGGACCGUCAACAGCAGUGAGCUGGCUCUGCUGGCUGAUGAACUCAUGACUGUCUACAGCCUGCCCGGUAUGGACCCUGACUGGCUCAUUGGCGAGAGAGGCAACAAGAAGGGCACGGUCCCUGUCACCUACUUGGAACUGCUCAGCUAGGCAGGUCC